GUGGGGAAUAUUGGACAAUGGGCGAAAGCCUGAUCCAGCCAUGCCGCGUGUGUGAAGAAGGUCUUCGGAUUGUAAAGCACUUUAAGUUGGGAGGAAGGGCAGUAAGUUAAUACCUUGCUGUUUUGACGUUACCGACAGAAUAAGCACCGGCUAACUUCGUGCCAGCAGCCGCGGUAAUACGAAGGGUGCAAGCGUUAAUCGGAAUUACUGGGCGUAAAGCGCGCGUAGGUGGUUUUGUAAGUUGGAGGUGAAAUCCCCGGGCUCAACCUGGGAACUGCCUCCAAAACUGCAUGACUAGAGUACGGUAGAGGGUAGUGGAAUUUCCUGUGUAGCGGUGAAAUGCGUAGAUAUAGGAAGGAACACCAGUGGCGAAGGCAACUACCUGGACUGAUACUGACACUGAGGUGCGAAAGCGUGGGGAGCAAACAGGAUUAGAAACCCUGGUAGUCC
rnacentral:rRNA from 1 species